UCCGAAUUGGUGUAGUGGCUAACAUUUGACGCUCUCAUUAAUUAUAAUAAUAAUUGAAGUUACCGUCAAGCCCGGGGUUCGAUUCCCCGAUUCGGAG